CUCAAAUUUGUUCAUCCCCAAUCUAAAUAGGUGGGAAGGUAUGUAGAAUUGAGUUCUGGAUUGUGUAUGUGUUUUUUAUGAAUGUGUGGAGGUGGUAAUUUACUUUGAAUGGGGGUGUGUGAGAACAGACUUUGCCUAGAGAAGGAAAUUGUAAAUGUGUGAGGUUUGACUGUUCCUUUGUGGGGAUAACUUUUUUUUAAUAGAAGAUGGGGGAGAGAGGGAAUAUGGCAUAGCUGAGGGUGAGGAGGAACAAAGGAGGGAAGGGAACAAAGAAAUGAAACAUACAGCAACACUUCUUUAUUUAAAAAAAAAAGAACAUCUUUGAUUUUUAGCAUUAAAAUUAACUAUGUGUACAUGUUUGAGACAAGACAUGCAAAUAUGGUAAUUGCUGCCAGGAUGAAGUGCCAGCUUGACUGAGUGAUCAGGAGGAGGAGAAGUGAUCCAUGAGAUCUCUGCCUCAACAUUCAUACUACUAAAAAUUGAAUACAUAAAAAAUCCUGGAACUUCUGUGCUAAGCCAUUAUACAUUUUUUAUUAAAGCUUCACUGUUUCCUCCUUGGUACAGAAUUGUUUCCACAUAAUGGUCUUCAAUCUCUCUUUCCAAAACGAAAGUUUAACUUUCUUUAUUUGAUACUUCAGUGUGUGCUCCUUCAAGUGGCUUUCAGGCAUGAUUGGGUGUCCAAGAAAAAUUGCAAUUAUGUUGAAGUCCUGGAUUGCCACACUUCUCACUGGAAUCCUUCUUCCCUCUCAUAGUUGAAUUAUUUUUCCCCUUCUUACUGAUGUACUUUGCUUUUUACUGCUGGGUUUCACAAGUCUCAAUGUUGCUUCAUUAUUUGUGGCUUGACUGUUCCUGGUGUUACUGUACCUGCUGCCUUCAGUUCGUUUCUACGUUAACUUGUGACUCCUUACUUCCUUGGGUUUAGUGUUGCUGCAAGGCAGAAAGUUUCCUCUAGUCUUAGAGGAUGCAGCUAUAUACUAUUUUUGCCAUGGCAGUCUGCUAGAAGUUGUUGUUAAAGGGAUAUAGGCUGUUUUUGUAAGCCUCAUCAAAGACAGGCAUUUCCAGAUUUUAUGCAGGUCAUUUGAAUAACCCUUUAUAGAUGGUGCUAGUAAUUUCAAAUGUUAAAUAACAAUUUUUAAUUUUUAUGUUACAAGCUAUAAGAUAAAAACAAUAGAGGUGUAAUUGUUUGUGAAACUUCCUUAGAUGACUAAGCCCUGGUCUACACUACAAGUUUAGGUCAAAUUUAGCAGCGUUGGAUUGAUUUAACCCUGCACCCAUCCACAUGACGAAACCAUUUUUGUCGACUUAAAGGGCUCUUAAAUGAUUUCUGUACUCCUCCCCAACGAGGGGAUUAGCACUGAAAUCGACCCUGCUCGGUUGAAUUUGGGGUAGUGUAUGCAAUGCGAUGGUAUUGGCCUCCAGGAACUAUCCCAGAGUGCUCCAUUGUGACUGCUCUGGACAGCACUCCUCAGCUAAGAUGCACUGGCCAGAUAGACAGGAAAAGCCCUGCAAACUUUUGAAUUUCAUUUCCUGUUUGGCCAUCGUGGCAAGCUGAUCAGCACACGUGACCACAGAAUCGUUAAAGAGCUCCAGCAUGGACCGAACAGGAGGUACUGGAUCUUAUCACUGUAUGGGGAGAUGAAUCCGUGCUAUCAGAACUCUGUUCCAAAAGACAAAAUGCUGGAAUAUUUGAAAAAAUCUCCAAGGGCAUGAAGGACAGAGGCUGUAACAGGGACCCGUAGCAGUGCUGGGUGAAACUUAAGGAGCUCAGGCAAGCCUACCGAAGAACCAGGGGGGCAAAUGUCCACUCUGGAUCAGAGCCCCAGACAUGCCGCUUCUAUGAUGACCUGCAUGCCAUUCUAGGGGGUGCCCUUACAACUACCCGACCCCUGUGCAUGGACUCCGUUAAUGGAUUUUCACGCAACAGGGAUGCAGAUUUUGGCGACGAGGAAGAUGGUGCAUAGCAAGCAAGCAGAGAAACCAUUUUCCCCGACAGCCAGGAACUGCUUUUCACCCUGGAUCUAGUACCCUCCCAACCCACCCAAGGUGGGUUCCCAGACGGUGGAGAAGGGACCUCUGCUGCAAAUGUUUCACCGCUCCCCAUAUCAUCUCCGUCCUAGAGGCUAGCAAAGAUUAGAAGGCGAAAAAAAUGCACUCGCGAUGAAAUGUUCUCUGAGCUCAUGCAGUCCUCCCACACUGAAAGCUCAGCAGAAUGCCUGGAGGCAGAUACUGUCAGAGUGCAGGAAAGCACAGAAUGAACAUGAGGACAGGUGAUGGGAGCAAGAGGAGCGAUGGUGGGAUCAAGAUGAUUGGUGGCAUCAGCGUGAUGAGAGGAGGCAGGAAGCAAUGCUCAGGCUACUGGCGGAUCAAAUUUAUAUUCUCUGGUGUAUUGUUGAGGUGCAGGAAAGGCAGCAGGAGCACAGACUGCUGCUGCAGCUCCUGUGUAACCAUCGGCCCUCCUUCCCACGUUCCAUACCUUCCUCACUCAGACACCCAAGAAUGUGGUGGGGGUGCCUCCGGCCACCCAACCACUCCACUCCAGAGGACUUCCCAAACAACGGAAAGCUGGCAUUCAAUAAGUUUUGAAGUGCAGUUUGGCCUUGGCCUUCCCUCCUCCCUUCCUCUGCCACUCCACCUGGUGCUUCCCUCUUCCCCCACUCCUCCUGGGCUGCCUUGGCAGUUAUCCCCCCAUUUGUGUGAUGAAUUAAUAAAGAAUGCAUGAAUU